GAAAUGCGAUAAGUAGUGUGAAUUGCAGAAUUCAGUGAAUCAUCGAAUCUUUGAACGCACAUUGCGCCCCUUGGUAUUCCAUGGGGCAUGCCUGUUCGAGCGUCAUUUGUACCCUCAAGCUCUGCUUGGUGUUGGGUGUUUGUCCCCGUCUCCGCGCGUGGACUCGCCCCAAAGUGAUUGGCAGCCGGCGUACUGGUCCCGGAGCGCAGCACAUGUCGCGCAAACGAGUGCCUUGGUACGGCGGCGUCCAUAAGCCUCUCUCUCACGCUCUUGACCUCGGAUCAGGUAGGGAUACCCGCUGAACUUAAGC
rnacentral:misc_RNA from 1 species